UACGAAGGGGGGCUAGCGUUGCUCGGAAUUACUGGGCGUAAAGGGCGCGUAGGCGGAUAGUUUAGUCAGAGGUGAAAGCCCAGGGCUCAACCUUGGAACUGCCUUUGAGACUGAAGAGCUUGAGUACGGGAGAGGUGAGUGGAAUUCCCAGUGUAGAGGUGAAAUUCGUAGAUAUUGGGAAGAACACCGGUGGCGAAGGCGGCUCACUGGCCCGUUACUGACGCUCAGGCGCGACAGCGUGGGGAUCAAACAGG
rnacentral:rRNA from 1 species